CAGCAGCCGCGGGAAUACGAACCGUGCGAACGUUAUUCGGAAUUACUGGGCUUAAAGCGCGUGUAGGCGGGCCGCCACGUCGGUUGCUGAAAUCCCCCGGCUCAACCGGGGAAGUGGCAUCGAUACGAGCGGCCUUGAGGGGGGUAGGGGGAUCUGGAACUUCCGGUGGAGCGGUGAAAUGCGUUGAGAUCGGAAGGAACGCCCGUGGCGAAAGCGAGGUCCUGGACCCUUUCUGACGCUGAGACGCGAAAGCCAGGGGAGCGAACGGGAUUAGAUACCCCAGUAGUCCCUGUCUCUUAUA
rnacentral:rRNA from 1 species